GAUGAACGCUGGCGGCGUGCCUAAUACAUGCAAGUCGAGCGAACGGACGAUAAGCUUGCUUCUCUGAUGUUAGCGGCGGACGGGUGAGUAACACGUGGAUAACCUACCUAUAAGACUUGGAUAACUUCGGGAAACCGGAGCUAAUACCGGAUAAUAUUUUGAACCGCAUGGUUCAAAAGUGAAAGACGGUCUUGCUGUCACUUAUAGAUGGUUCCGCGCUGCAUUAGCUAGUUGGUAAGGUAACGGCUUACCAAGGCAACGAUGCAUAGCCGACCUGAGAGGGUGAUCGGCCACACUGGAACUGAGACACGGUCCAGACUCCUACGGGAGGCAGCAGUAGGGAAUCUUCCGCAAUGGGCGAAAGCCUGACGGAGCAACGCCGCGUGAGUGAUGAAGGUCUUCGGAUCGUAAAACUCUGUUAUUAGGGAAGAACAGAUGUGUAAGUAAAUGUGCACAUCUUGACGGUACCUAAUCAGAAAGCCACGGCUAACUACGUG
rnacentral:rRNA from 1 species